rnacentral:rRNA from 1 species
UACGAAGGGGGCUAGCGUUGUUCGGAAUUACUGGGCGUAAAGCGCACGUAGGCGGAUAUUUAAGUCAGGGGUGAAAUCCCAGAGCUCAACUCUGGAACUGCCUUUGAUACUGGGUAUCUUGAGUAUGGAAGAGGUAAGUGGAAUUGCGAGUGUAGAGGUGAAAUUCGUAGAUAUUCGCAGGAACACCAGUGGCGAAGGCGGCUUACUGGUCCAUAACUGACGCUGAGGUGCGAAAGCGUGGGGAGCAAACAGGAUU